GUCCUGAGAGGGGGGUCCAAGCCCCCAGGGAGGAAGUCAGGCCUCAGUCUCCUUCUCUGUCCCUGCAGAUGGCACAUCUGGAGGAGUCCCCGGCCCUUUCCUCUCAGCCGGGACCAUCGCAGGCAUCGUAGCGGGGGUCCUGGCUGGGCUGGUGCUGACUGCAGUCCUGGGGUGGUUCCUGCUGUGCAGGGACUCUGCAGGGGCCAGAAGCCAGCAGGACCUCAGGGAGCCCCGGCCCCCUGCGUGCCCCCCAGGUCACGGCUGCCCCCACAAUCCCAACUCUAUGGUAAGCCUCUCCCCUCCCCAUCGGGGUCCCAGCUGCACAGACUCGGGACAAGGGGACUGCCUCACAGCCCAGACCCCUGCCCUCCUGACAGGUCAAGGUUAGUCCUCUCUAUCCAGGAGCUGGGCAGAGACCACCACGCCCUGAGCCCACCCUGUGGGAGAAACCUGGAGUCCAGCAUGGGGCAAAGAGUGGGCCUGGGAGCAUCAGCCAGGGGCCCUGGGUCAACAAGUAGGAGGGUGAGACGCAGCAGGAAGGGACGGGGUGCUGUGUUCCAGGCUUGGAGACUAGCCCUUAGGGACAGAGGUGUCAGUCCUGAUGAGAAGUGUUGAAAGCAGAUCCAGGGAACCCACCUGUGGCCAGGUAGAAGCAAUAACCUCAGACUCCAGCCCUAGGCUCACUUCUGCCCCUGCCUGUCCCCUGACGUCUGCUCUCCCCCUCCCAGGUCCCCCUGCACGACUCCAGGGCAGACGUUCCCAUCUAUGAGGUGAGCUGGGUGAUGCCCAGGACCUCCCCACCCCCACCCGGCUGUGCUGAGCAAUUCAGGAAAGUGCAGCAAUGGGGGGACAUGGGUGGGGACCCAGGAGGGAGGGUACUGAGAGCAGAAGCCUCAGAGAAGCCCCCGCUGGGGCCAGAGCCUGGGAGAAGCAGCAACUGGUUCUGAGAAGGUUACAAGAUGUUCAGAGGCCUCUUCUUUCCUUUUUCAGGAACUUCUAAACCGUGACACAAACAUCUACUGUCGGAUCAACCCCAAAGCAGAAGUUACUCAAUACUUUCCCCAAGGAACUUGGGCAGCCAAGGGGAGGGGCCACGUGAGACCACAGAGCCUGGGAAGGAGCUGAGCCUGUGCCCGAUGUUCAGCUGGGUGCUCGGGGAGGGGGCAGGUCCCUCCUGGACUACUGGAGACCUGGAGAGGCCACUCUGAGCUCAGGCUCAGCCGGGACAAAAUCCUCCCAACCCACCCCUCUGGGCCACCCCACAUGGCCUGUGACCUGCCAUGGAUUACUUGGAAAGAAUUUGAAUAAAGAGGACACUUCCU
rnacentral:lncRNA from 1 species